rnacentral:rRNA from 1 species
UACGUAGGGGGCAAGCGUUGUCCGGAUUUAUUGGGCGUAAAGAGCGUGUAGGCGGCCUGAAAGGUCAGCUGUGAAAACUCGAGGCUCAACCUCGAGACGUCGGUUGAAACCAUCUGGCUAGAGUCCGGAAGAGGAGUGUGGAAUUCCCGGUGUAGCGGUGAAAUGCGCAGAUAUCGGGAGGAACACCGGUGGCGAAGGCGGGUCUCUGGGCCGAUACUGACGCUGAGGAGCGAAAGCGUGGGGAGCGAACAGG